UUAAAAACAAAAGCUGAGUCCUGUAUAAAAAAAUCUAUAAAAUAUUUGUUUUGUUAAAUCUUUGAUGAUAAAAUUCAGAACGGAAAUGGGGUAUGUGCCAAAGAGACAACAAACCAACCAAAGAGCAAACUGCAGCCGAAGGCAACCAAUGGGUUUUCAACACAGCAAACAACUCCCGCACCCGAAGGCGUACUUCAGCUGGCCCCCGGAAAAAAAUGUGUACUAGUUCAGUGAUAAUGGAACAUUCAAUUGUUCGGUGUAUUUUCCACAAAACACA
rnacentral:lncRNA from 1 species